AUUGAACGCUGGCGGCAGGCUUAACACAUGCAAGUCGAGCGGUAACAGAGAGAAGCUUGCUUCUCUGCUGACGAGCGGCGGACGGGUGAGUAAUGCCUAGGAAUCUGCCUAGUAGUGGGGGAUAACUUGCCGAAAGGUAAGCUAAUACCGCAUACGUCCUACGGGAGAAAGGAGGGGACCUUCGGGCCUUUUGCUAUUAGAUGAGCCUAGGUCGGAUUAGUUAGUUGGUGAGGUAAUGGCUCACCAAGACCGCGAUCCGUAACUGGUCUGAGAGGAUGAUCAGUCACACUGGAACUGAGACACGGUCCAGACUCCUACGGGAGGCAGCAGUGGGGAAUAUUGGACAAUGGGGGGAACCCUGAUCCAGCCAUGCCGCGUGUGUGAAGAAGGUCUUAGGAUUGUAAAGCACUUUAAGUUGGGAGGAAGAGCAGUUAACUAAUAUUUGACUGUUUUGACGUUACCGACAGAAUAAGCACCGGCUAACUUCGUG
rnacentral:rRNA from 1 species